AGCCCUAAGUGGGUGGUAAACUCCAUCUAAGGCUAAAUAUGACCACGAGACCGAUAGCGAACAAGUACCGUGAGGGAAAGUUGAAAAGCACUUUGAAGAGAGAGUUCAAGAGUACGUGAAACCGUUUAGGGGUAAACCUGAGAAACCCGAAAGGUCGAAGGAAGAAAUUCAUUCGCGUUUCGUAAUCGGCAUCGGACGGUUGUGCGUGACGGAAAGCGUUCGCGCGUUUUUCGCACCCUCCGUACGACGAACCGGCAACGAACGUGUGCACUUUUCUUCUGGUAGGACGUCGCGAUCCGUUGGGUGUCGGUCUACGGCUCGCGGUGGAGCCCGUUCGUACGUUUCACGACGUACGGGCGGACCCGCGUGUCCCGGCUGACUCGCUCGACGGUAUAAGAAUGGUUCGGGGCCGCUCAUUUAGUAGCGUUCGGCUCGUGACAAGCGCGUCAGAUGUUUGUCGGCGAUCGGACCUAGUGCCGAUCCUGACCUCUGAUGACUGUUGGUCGCGAAGUUCUCGAACAGACCCUAACGUCGCUUGCGACGGAACCGAUCUGCGACGCUAUAGCUUUGGGUACUUUCAG
rnacentral:rRNA from 1 species